UACGGAGGGAGCUAGCGUUGUUCGGAAUUACUGGGCGUAAAGCGCACGUAGGCGGCUUUGCAAGUCAGAGGUGAAAGCCUGAAGCUCAACUCCAGAAUUGCCUUUGAGACUGCAUCGCUUGAACACGGGAGAGGUGAGUGGAAUUCCGAGUGUAGAGGUGAAAUUCGUAGAUAUUCGGAAGAACACCAGUGGCGAAGGCGGCUCACUGGACCGUUGUUGACGCUGAGGUGCGAAAGCGUGGGGAGCAAACAGG
rnacentral:rRNA from 1 species